rnacentral:pre_miRNA from 1 species
AUACUACUCCCUCCGUCCCAAAAUUCUUGUUUUAGAUUUGUUUAGAUACGGAUGUAUCUAAUACUAAAACGUGACUUGAUACAUCCGCAUCUAGACAAAUCUAAGACAAGAAUUUUGGGACGAAGGGAGUACUAU